rnacentral:lncRNA from 1 species
UCUGCUAGGGCUUGGGACCCUAGCGUCCUCGCGCCACCCUCGGCCCACGCCGGCGCUCCGAUCACGACGGAAACGGCCACCGGUCCGGCGUCCUCGGUGAAUGGGGUAAGAUUUUUCCCCUUUUCUUUGUUAUUAUUUGUUUUUUAAAAAAACGCAAAAAAAAAAAGAAAAAGAAAACAUAAAUAUAUAAAAAAACCCGAUUCACCUUAAAACAGUGUAUUCUCUGCUUUUCUUUCAAUUUUUUUUUGUCUAUCUCUCUGUAUUUUUCCCCGCCCCUUUUACAGAUUUGAUAGACCUUUUAUAGGCCGAAAAUAAAGAAAAUAAAAUAAUCUAAAUGCUGUUUUUUGCUGCUUCUUCUCUCUGGGACUCUCUAAGUCCGUGUUUUCGCAGGUGACGUGCGUGGAGAGGGGUCGACCUCCGAGUUGUGCGGCGACUGGGCGUUAGGCGCGACGCGAGGCUGCUGGGCGCACCUGAAGGCUUGCUGCGGCGCUCCUUAGGGCUAGGGUUCUUUCUUUUUCUUUGGGCCAGGGUUGUUUUGGGGUUUGGUUUAAUGAUUUGGGGCUUAGGUUAGUUUUGGGCCUGUAUUUGUU